GUCCCAGUAGCUCAGUGGAAGCACAAGGUCGCGGGUUCGAAUCCUGCCUGGGACGCCA
rnacentral:tRNA from 1 species